AAUGGACGCUGGCGGCAUGCCUAACACAUGCAAGUCGAACGAAGGCUUCGGCCUUAGUGGCGCACGGGUGCGUAACGCGUGGGAAUCUGCCCUCAGGUUCGGAAUAACAGCGAGAAAUUGCUGCUAAUACCGGAUGAUAUCGCGAGAUCAAAGAUUUAUCGCCUGAGGAUGAGCCCGCGUAGGAUUAGCUAGUUGGUGUGGUAAAGGCGCACCAAGGCGACGAUCCUUAGCUGGUCUGAGAGGAUGAUCAGCCACACUGGGACUGAGACACGGCCCAGACUCCUACGGGAGGCAGCAGUGGGGAAUAUUGGACAAUGGGCGAAAGCCUGAUCCAGCAAUGCUGCGUGAGUGAUGAAGGCCUUAGGGUUGUAAAGCUCUUUUACCCGGGAUGAUAAUGACAGUACCGGGAGAAUAAGCUCCGGCUAACUCCGUGCCAGCAGCCGCCGCGG
rnacentral:rRNA from 1 species